UACAGAGGGUGCGAGCGUUAAUCGGAAUUACUGGGCGUAAAGGGUGCGUAGGUGGUCAUUUAAGUUAGAUGUGAAAUCCCUGGGCUUAACCUAGGAAUUGCAUUUAAUACUGAGUGGCUAGAGUUUGGGAGAGGGAAGUGGAAUUUCCGGUGUAGCGGUGAAAUGCGUAGAUAUCGGAAGGAACACCAGUGGCGAAGGCGACUUCCUGGCCCGAUACUGACACUGAGGCACGAAAGCGUGGGGAGCGAACAGG
rnacentral:rRNA from 1 species